rnacentral:rRNA from 1 species
UCGGGAAACUUUUGCAAUACACGAAAGUGUGACAAAGCAAGCCAGAGUGCCGUUCUUUUUUUGAACUGCUUUUGCGGGAUGUAAAAAGUCCCGCGAAUAAGGACUGGGCAAGACUGGUGCCAGCCGCCGCGGUAAUCCCAGCAGUCCAAGUCGCAGCCACAUUUGUUGGGUCUAAAAUAUCCGUAGCUUGCCUUGUAAGUCUUUGGUGAAAUCGGGCCUCUUAAGGGUCCGGCGUGCCAAAGAUACUGCAGGGCUUAGAGACCGGGAGGCGCAAGAAGUACAAUAAGGGUAGCGGUAAAAUGUGUUGAUCCUUAUUGGACUAACAAUCGCGAAGGCAUCUUGCGAGAACGGUUCUGACAGUGAGGGAUGAAGGCUAGGGGCGCAAAGUGG